GCUCUGUGAGGUAGAGAAGUGAGUAUUCUUCAUUGCUUGGAAGAGGAAACCAAAGCACAGAGAAGUUAUAUUUAGAAGAAUUAAAUCUUUAUUUGUUAAACACUGGAGAACAUCAAUUUCACCAUAUAUAUACACAGCAACAGAAAAAAAAUUACAUCAAUUUACAGCUAAGCAAAGGAUUUACAUUUAGGAGAUGCAUAUGCAAGAAGAAAAUACAGAAUUCUGGGGACCCCCGAGAGUGACCGCCUGGAAAUUGCUCCUGCUGCUCCCCUCAAUGAGGAGUGGUUUGGGAAUGCAUUGCCACUGUAGCUGAAGUGGCAUCAAAGGCCCCAGCAAAUAAAAAAUGGGGACAGUCAUUCAUAACGGCCAGUUCCAUUAGAUUUCCUAGUCUGCAGGAAGAAUGGUUUAUCCUUCAUCAGGCUUAACUUGAAGGCAUAACUUUUUUUGGCUGGCUACAGAGAGAGUUGAUAAUUAAUCCACUAUGUCGAAUUACUGUCUCGGUCUGCUUGGAAUAUGAAAGCAACCAUCUGAGUUCAGUUCCUACCAUUGAUCUGAUGGGAUGUGCAUGUGUAACAAUAAAGACAACUGAAAUGAUGUACAUCGACUCCAUCUUUGAGGCCACAUGUAUCGGGGAGUUGAGGGUGGGGUCACUCUUGCACUGAGAGAGACCUUAUCCGGGUGCUAAAGAAUCAGAUGGUCUCCACUGAAGAUGCCUAUGUAAUAAAAGACCCCCAAAGGAUAGUGGACUUUGGUCUUAUU